rnacentral:SRP_RNA from 1 species
GCUGGGUGUGGUGGUGGGCACCUGUAAUCCCAGCUACUCAGGAGGCUGAGGCAGAAGAAUUGCUUGAACCCGGGAGGCGGAGGUUGCGGUGAGCCGAGAUCACACCACUGAACUCCAGCCUGGGUGAGAGAGAGAUACUCUGUUUUGUUUUUUUUUUUUUUCCUGAGACGGAGUCUCACUCUGUCGCCCAGGCUGGAGUGCAGUGGCGCGAUCUUGGCUCACUGCAAGCUCCGCCUCCUGGGUUCAAGCCAUUCUCCUGCCUCAG